rnacentral:rRNA from 1 species
GACGAACGCUGGCGGCGUGCCUAAUACAUGCAAGUCGAGCGCAGGAAAUCGACGGAACCCUUCGGGGGGAAGUCGACGGAAUGAGCGGCGGACGGGUGAGUAACACGUAAAGAACCUGCCCUCAGGUCUGGGAUAACCACGAGAAAUCGGGGCCAAUACCGGCUGGGUCAUCGGACCGCAUGGUCCGAGGAUGAAAGGCGCUCCGGCGCCGCCUGGGGAUGGCUUUGCGGUGCAUUAGCUAGUUGGUGGGGUAAUGGCCCACCAAGGCGACGAUGCAUAGCCGACCUGAGAGGGUGAUCGGCCACACUGGGACUGAGACACGGCCCAGACUCCUACGGGAGGCAGCAGUAGGGAAUCUUCCACAAUGGACGAAAGUCUGAUGGAGCAACGCCGCGUGAACGAUGAAGGCCUUCGGGUCGUAAAGUUCUGUUGUAAGGGAAGAACAAGUGCCGCAGGCAAUGGCGGCACCUUGACGGUACCUUGCGAGAAAGCCACGGCUAACUACGUGCCAGCCGCCGCAGUAAAAC